rnacentral:rRNA from 1 species
UACAGAGGGGGCGAGCGUUGUUCGGAAUUACUGGGCGUAAAGGGCGCGUAGGCGGCCCGUUAAGUCGAACGUGAAAUCCCCAGGCUCAACCUGGGAACUGCGUCCGAUACUGGCAGGCUUGAAUCCGGGAGAGGGAUGUGGAAUUCCAGGUGUAGCGGUGAAAUGCGUAGAUAUCUGGAGGAACACCGGUGGCGAAGGCGGCAUCCUGGACCGGUAUUGACGCUGAGACACGAAAGCGUGGGUAGCAAACAGG